UACAGAGGCCUCGAGCGUUAGGCGGAAUCACUGGGCUUAAAGCGUGUGUAGGUGGAUGCCUAAGUACCUUGUGAAAUCCCACGGCUUAACCGUGGAACUGCUGGGUAUACUGGGUGUCUUGAGCCACUCAGGGGCUACCGGAACAAACGGUGGAGCGGUGAAAUGCGUAGAUAUCGAUAGGAACACCCGGUGGCGAAGGCGGCCUUCUGGGGCAUUCCUGACACUGGAGAAGCGAAAGCCUAGGGGAGCAAAACAGG
rnacentral:rRNA from 1 species